CUCCUCUGAUGCUGGGACUUACUACUGUGCUGUGGCCACAUGUGGACAGAUACUGUUUGGAAAUGGAACCACGCUGACUAAUGAUCAGCACGAGAACAAUUCACAGGAACAGAAUUCAGCU